UGCUUUGGCAAGAACACCUACUAGACAAAGUAAUGUGUAUGAGGUCCAUCCUAUACAAGAGGUGGGGUACCUCCAAAAAUAAAUCUAUGACUAUCCACUUGUGGUAGGAGGUCAUUCUUCAUGGAGGCUGAAAGAUAUUCAGGUUGUUCUUUUUGAAUUGCGCAUGGUUGGUGGACUCCAUCUAUCAACUUUCACGAGGCCUUUAAUAACUCCCUUGGUUUUAAUUGUUUGUCUUACUUUCCUUUCUGGUUCUUUUAAAAGGUCUUUUUCUUUUUUCGACGACCUUUUAAUAUCAACUUUCCACCUGACAUUUUUAAGACCUUAAGAUCGAAAGUCAUUUGGGUACAUUAUAUAUAUCUUUAGUUUUAGAGCACUAGAUUGAUAAGUCUCCUUUACUUUCCUAAACUUUGUGCCAAGUCAUAAUUAGACAAACUAAUUGAAACCGAGGGAAGUAAAACAUUGAGAUUGAUAUCAUAAGCAUUUUUUUGGGGAA